CAAAGCCUCAGAAUUAUUAAGUUAAGGGAAUGAGAUUUGAACCCAGGUUCUAUUGAAUCCAAAGUCCACUAUCUGGCAGAGGAACUCUCUCUCACCUCAAUUUAAUCCAUUUCAUGCACAAGUCAAGAAAUCACCUAAUGAUGUAAUUGGUUCUCUUUGAAAAAGAAAACAGCAACAAUCUACAUUACACUUUCUUCUAAGACAUUUCGACACACUAACACUGUCAGGCAGAAGGUGUUGGAUACUGUUGGCUUCAUUUUCAAUUAAGGAAACUGAAAAUCAAAGUAGUUAGGCCAUUUUGAAGUGGUAAAUAUGGGACUGGAACUCAAAUAUCUUUACUGAAUACAUUAUCUUUCCAUUUAUUCCUGUGAAUGAAAAAUUAUUUGGGCAAAGAAAAAUGGAUCUGAAAAGCAAAGGAGCUCAGAACUUUGGGAACACAAAUCAUCAGGGGAGGGGAAACUGUUCCAAUGGAACCUUGAAAGAGGCAGUUAGGAAACUCCAGCUGCCUGAGACUUCAUCUUCUUGACUGUUUCUACCUGAGGGUGGAAGACCCCUCUGUCUCCUCUCUGGCCAUUGCCUUCUACCUACUCUGUCAUACAAGUAAAACAUACGAUGAAUAUUAGCUUAACAUCAUGUAGACCUUUGUGUCUGGCAGCAGAAGGUUCUGCCUUAGAAGAAAGCACUUUCCUCAUUGGUAGAGAUAUUGAAACAGGAACUGCAUAACCACGUGUCAAGAUUCAUUAGAACAGGAGAUAAAUUCAUUAAACAAGUGGAUGGAGUGAAGUCUGGCUUCUCUAGCUGAGAUCAGGUAUUUUGUUCAGCAUUGAGGAUAUUAAAAAAAAAAAGAAAGAAAAACAGUCCCAGUCUUCAAGGAUUUCAUAGUCUAAUGCAGAGAGACAAUAUAUACCACCAAGAUGCAUACAGGCUACACUGGAGAAAAUCUCAGAGGGAAGACACCAACAUUAAGAUGGCCCAGGAAAGGCUUUUUGCAGAAGGAAUCUUCUCAGACUGUGUCUCAUAAUGGUACUUCCCACAGGCAUGGGAGAAAGGACUUGUCACUCAGUACAAGGCUACCACUCAUCACUUAUUGGAACUUUGUGCUAAGAUAAAAAUGGUUAACUUCUGUAGUUUUGUUCUGGGCUUAAUGAAUAUCCUCUGAAAACCACGUUCCAUUUACUUUGGGCCCCUUCAACUAGAGUUACCUUAGC
rnacentral:lncRNA from 1 species